rnacentral:snRNA from 1 species
GUAACAUUUGCUGGCUUUAAUAAAAAGUUUUUUUCUGUUCUUAUCAGCUUAAUAUCUGAUUACGACAUCCAUCGGGUGUCAAGAUAUUAAACUAAUUUUUGCAGGUUGGCUUGUGGUUAGGAAUUUAUUCCGCCCUCGCGACGGGUUGGCCUGCUAUUGCACUAUUUGCAGGAUACGGCCCACUCUUU